UACGGAGGGUGCAAGCGUUGUCCGGAUUUAUUGGGUUUAAAGGGUGCGUAGGCGGCUUUUUAAGUCAGUGGUGAAAUCCAACAGCUCAACUGUUGAACUGCCAUUGAUACUGGAGAGCUUGAGUACAGACGAGGUAGGCGGAAUUUAUGGUGUAGCGGUGAAAUGCAUAGAUACCAUAAAGAACACCGAUUGCGAAGGCAGCUUACUAGGCUGUAACUGACGCUGAGGCACGAAAGUGUGGGGAUCAAACAGG
rnacentral:rRNA from 1 species